rnacentral:rRNA from 1 species
UACGAAGGGGGCUAGCGUUGCUCGGAAUCCCUGGGCGUAAAGCGCACGUAGGCGGCUUUCUAAGUCAGGGGUGAAAUCCUGGAGCUCAACUCCAGAACUGCCUUUGAUACUGGGAAGCUUGAGUCCGGAAGAGGUGAGUGGAACUGCGAGUGUAGAGGUGAAAUUCGUAGAUAUUCGCAAGAACACCAGUGGCGAAGGCGGCUCACUGGUCCGGUACUGACGCUGAGGUGCGAAAGCGUGGGGAGCAAACAGG